CGGGCUGUGGCUCAGCUUGGUAGAGCGCUGCGUUCGGGACGCAGAGGUCGCUGGUUCAAAUCCAGUCAGCCCGA
rnacentral:tRNA from 2 species